CCGAGAAUCUUCCCCAAUGGACGAAAGUCUGAGGGAGCGACGCCGCGUGCAGGAAGAAGGCCUUCGGGUUGUAAACUGCUUUUCUAGAGGAGCAAUUCCGAUUUAUCGGAGUGAGAGUACUCUAGGAAUAAGAGGUUGCUAACUCUGUGCCAGCAGCCGCGGUAAUACAGAGACCUCAAGCGUUAUCCGGAUUUAUUGGGCGUAGAGGGUCCGUAGGGGGCUAAAUAAGCCAAAUGUUAAAUUUGCCAGCUUAACUGGUACUUUUGCAUUUGGGACUGUUUAACUAGAGCACGUCAGAGGUCAUUGGAACUCAUGGUGUAGGGGUAAAAUCCGUUGAUAUCAUGGGGAACACCAAAGGCGAAGGCAUUUGACUGGGGCGUUGCUGACCCUGAGGGACGAAAGCUAGGGUAGCGAAUGGG
rnacentral:rRNA from 1 species